GAAAUCAGAUCAAUAUUACCACAGAAACAACAAAUAUCCAACAUUAUCUAAUAAGAAGCACAGGAGACAUGACUAUUAUGCCCUCCACGGCUACUAAAAUACCUUUUAUCGUAAAACUAUUUCCAACAAACGUACAAUGGAAAAUAGAGAACUUCAUGCAAUCUAACAGCCCAAAACUAUGAGUUGAAACAAUGAUAAAGCCUAGUAUAAAAUAGAAAUGAGCGCUCUCACUUUAUCAAACAUGGAGGACUUAUUAUUUGAACUCCAUAGGGGCCUCAUAAAAUUCCCAGCAGUCAAUAUGAACCAAAAACUCUUUUUCAGAAGAUUAGGUGCUCCCAAAAUUAGUUAGAUAAUUAUCCAACAGUAGGCUUGCCUCAGCCAGCAUCCAAUAGUUGCAAAAAAAAUUCCCCAAAGUCCACAUCCAUGUUCCAGAAAAGACUUGGUAAAACUACAGCGACCUCAA